AUUGAACGCUGGCGGCAGGCCUAACACAUGCAAGUCGAGCGAGCGGCGGACGGGUGAGUAAUGUCUGGGAACCUGCCUGAUGGAGGGGGAUAACUACUGGAAACGGUAGCUAAUACCGCAUACCAUCAGAUGUGCCCAGAUGGGAUUAGAUAGUAGGUGGGGUAACGGCUUACCUAGGCGAAGAUCCGUAGCUGGUCUGAGAGGAUGACCAGCCACACUGGAACUGAGACACGGUCCAGAUUCCGCAGGGAGGCAGCAGUGGGGAAUAUUGCACAAUGGGCGCAAGCCUGACGCAGCCAUGCCGCGUGUGUGACGAAGGCCUUCGGUUUGUAAAGCACUUUCAGCGGGGAGGCGUUAUCCGCAGAGGAAGCACCGGCUAACUCUGUGCCAGCAGCCGCGGUAAUUC
rnacentral:rRNA from 1 species